GCGGCGGCGGCUACGGCGUUAGCUUACUUCUUAAAAGCUUUAUAUUUUAGAAGAUGGAAGACCUGGAUGCUUCAUACUUUGUAUAUGGAUGCCUCAGGUUACGAAGUUUCCGUCAGUCACAUGUCCAAUGUCCUUGACCUCAUUUUCAUGGUUCAGUGACUACUUGAAAAAAAAGUUCAGAUUUUUUGUAAUGUUAUAUUCUCUCUUAUUAUAAGUAAUAGGAUAACUAUAUUUGGUAUGUGCAUACCUUGCAAGGUCCUCAUGCCCGUCAGACAGUUUUCACUUGACCUCGACCUCAUUUCAUGGAUCAGUGAACAAGGUUAAGUUUUGGUGGUCAAGUCCAUAUCUCAGAUACUAUAAGCAAUAGGUCUAGUAUAUUCGGUGUAUGGAAGGACUGUAAGGUGUACAUGUCCAACUGGCAGGUGUCAUCUGACCUUGACCUCAUUUUCAUGGUUCAGUGGUUAUAGUUAAGUUUUUGUGUUUUGGUCUGUUUUUCUUAUACUGUAUGCAAUAGGUCUACUAUAUUUGGUGUAUGGAAUGAUUGUAAGGUGUACAUGUCUAGCUGGCAGGUGUCAUCUGACCUUGACCUCAUUUUCAUGGUUCAGUGGUUAUAGUUAAGUUUUUGUGUUUUGGUCUGUUUUUCUUAUACUGUAUGCAAAAGGUCUACUAUAUUUGGUGUAUGGAAUGAUUGUAAGGUGUACAUGUCUAGCUGGCAGGUGUCAUCUGACCUUGACCUCAUUUUCAUUGUUCAGUGGUCAAAGUUAAGUUUUUGAGUUUUGGUCUUUUUUUCUAAUACUAUGUGCAAUAGUUCAACUUUAUUUGGUAUGUGCGUACCUUGCAAGGUCCUCAUGCCCGUCAGACAGUUUUCACUUGACCUCGACCUCAUUUCAUGGAUCAAUGAACAAGGUUAAGUUUUGGUGGUCAAGUCCAUAUCUCAGAUACUAUAAGCAAUAGGUCUAGUAUAUUCGGUGUAUGGAAGGACUGUAAGGUGUACAUGUCCAACUGGCAGGUGUCAUCUGACCUUGACCUCAUUUUCAUGGUUCAGUGGUUAUAGUUAAGUUUUUGUGUUUUGGUCUGUUUUUCUUAUACUGUAUGCCAUAGGUCUACUAUAUUUGGUGUAUGGAAUGAUUGUCAGGUGUACAUGUCUAGCGGGCAGGUGUCAUCUGACCUUGACCUCAUUUUCAUGGUUCAGUGGUCAAAGUUAAGUUUUUGAGUUUUGGUCUUUUUUUCUAAUACUAUGUGCAAUAGUUCAACUUUAUUUGGUAUGUGCGUACCUUGCAAGGUCCUCAUGCCCGUCAGACAGUUUUCACUUGACCUCGACCUCAUUUCAUGGAUCAAUGAACAAGGUUAAGUUUUGGUGGUCAAGUCCAUAUCUCAGAUACUAUAAGCAAUAGGUCUAGUAUAUUCGGUGUAUGGAAGGACUGUAAGGUGUACAUGUCCAACUGGCAGGUGUCAUCUGACCUUGACCUCAUUUUCAUGGUUCAGUGGUUAUAGUUAAGUUUUUGUGUUUUGGUCUGUUUUUCUUAUACUGUAUGCCAUAGGUCUACUAUAUUUGGUGUAUGGAAUGAUUGUCAGGUGUACAUGUCUAGCGGGCAGGUGUCAUCUGACCUUGACCUCAUUUUCAUGGUUCAGUGGUCAAAGUUAAGUUUUUGAGUUUUGGUCUUUUUUUCUAAUACUAUGUGCAAUAGUUCAACUAUAUUUGGUAUGUGCGUACCUUGCAAGGUCCUCAUGCCCGUCAGACAGUUUUCACUUGACCUCGACCUCAUUUCAUGGAUCAAUGAACAAGGUUAAGUUUUGGUGGUCAAGUCCAUAUCUCAGAUACUAUAAGCAAUAGGUCUAGUAUAUUCGGUGUAUGGAAGGACUGUAAGGUGUACAUGUCCAACUGGCAGGUGUCAUCUGACCUUGACCUCAUUUUCAUGGUUCAGUGGUUAUAGUUAAGUUUUUGUGUUUUGGUCUGUUUUUCUUAUACUGUAUGCAAUAGUUCAACUAUAUUUGGUGUAUGGAAAUAUUUUAUGAUCUAUUUGGCAGUCACGCAGGUUUUAUUUGACCUUGACCUCAUUUUCAAGGUUCAUUGCUCAGUGUUAAGUUUUUGUGUUUUGGUCUGUUUUUUGUCGAGCCUGCGACUUUUGUCGCAGAAAGCUCGACAUAGGGAUAGCGAUCCGGCGGCGGCGGCGGCGGCGGCUACGGCGGCGGCGGCGGCGUUAGCUAACUUCUUAAAAGCUUUAUAUUUUAGAAGAUGGAAGACCUGGAUGCUUCAUACUUUGUAUAUGGAUGCCUCAUGUUACGAAGUUUCCGUCAGUCACAUGUCCAAUGUCCUUGACCUCAUUUUCAUGGUUCAGUGACUACUUGAAAAAAAAGUUCAGAUUUUUUGUAAUGUUAAAUUCUCUCUUAUUAUAAGUAAUAGGAUAACUAUAUUUGGUAUGUGCGUACCUUGCAAGGUCCUCAUGCCCUUCAGACAGUUUUCACUUGACCUCGACCUCAUUUCAUGGAUCAGUGAACAAGGUUAAGUUUUCGUGGUCAAGUCCAUAUCUCAGAUACUAUAAGCAAUAGGUCUAGUAUAUUCGGUGUAUGGAAGGACUGUAAGGUGUACAUGUCCAACUGGCAGGUGUCAUCUGACCUUGACCUCAUUUUCAUGGUUCAGUGGUUAUAGUUAAGUUUUUGUGUUUUGGUCUGUUUUUCUUAUACUGUAUGCAAUAGUUCAACUAUAUUUGGUGUAUGGAAAUAUUUUAUGAUCUAUUUGGCAGUCACGCAGGUUUUAUUUGACCUUGACCUCAUUUUCAAGGUUCAUUGCUCAGUGUUAAGUUUUUGUGUUUUGGUCUGUUUUUUGUCGAGCCUGCGACUUUUGUCGCAGAAAGCUCGACAUAGGGAUAGCGAUCCGGCGGCGGCGGCGGCGGCGGCUACGGCGGCGGCGGCGUUAGCUAACUUCUUAAAAGCUUUAUAUUUUAGAAGAUGGAAGACCUGGAUGCUUCAUACUUUGUAUAUGGAUGCCUCAUGUUACGAAGUUUCCGUCAGUCACAUGUCCAAUGUCCUUGACCUCAUUUUCAUGGUUCAGUGACUACUUGAAAAAAAAGUUCAGAUUUUUUGUAAUGUUAAAUUCUCUCUUAUUAUAAGUAAUAGGAUAACUAUAUUUGGUAUGUGCGUACCUUGCAAGGUCCUCAUGCCCUUCAGACAGUUUUCACUUGACCUCGACCUCAUUUCAUGGAUCAGUGAACAAGGUUAAGUUUUCGUGGUCAAGUCCAUAUCUCAGAUACUAUAAGCAAUAGGUCUAGUAUAUUCGGUGUAUGGAAGGACUGUAAGGUGUACAUGUCCAACUGGCAGGUGUCAUCUGACCUUGACCUCAUUUUCAUGGUUCAGUGGUUAUAGUUAAGUUUUUGUGUUUUGGUCUGUUUUUCUUAUACUGUAUGCAAUAGGUCUACUAUAUUUGGUGUAUGGAAUGAUUGUAAGGUGUACAUGUCUAGCUGGCAGGUGUCAUCUGACCUUGACCUCAUUUUCAUGGUUCAGUGGUUAUAGUUAAGUUUUUGUGUUUUGGUCUGUUUUUCUUAUACUGUAUGCCAUAGGUCUACUUUAUUUGGUGUAUGGAAUGAUUGUAAGGUGUACAUGUCCAGCGGGCAGGUGUCAUCUGACCUUGACCUCAUUUUCAUGGUUCAGUGGUCAAAGUUAAGUUUUUGAGUUUUGGUCUUUUUUUCUAAUACUAUAUGCAAUAGUUCAACUAUAUUUGGUAUGUGCGUACCUUGCAAGGUCCUCAUGCCCGUCAGACAGUUUUCACUUGACCUCAACCUCAUUUCAUGGAUCAGUGAACAAGGUUAAGUUUUGGUGGUCAAGUCCAUAUCUCAGAUACUAUAAGCAAUAGGUCUUGUAUAUUCGGUGUAUGGAAGGAUUGUAAGGUGUACAUGUCCAACUGGCAGGUGUCAUCUGACCUUGACCUCAUUUUCAUGGUUCAGUGGUUAUAGUUAAGUUUUUGUGUUUUGGUCUGUUUUUCUUAUACUGUAUGCCAUAGGUCUACUUUAUUUGGUGUAUGGAAUGAUUGUAAGGUGUACAUGUCCAGCGGGCAGGUGUCAUCUGACCUUGACCUCAUUUUCAUGGUUCAGUGGUCAAAGUUAAGUUUUUGAGUUUUGGUCUUUUUUUCUAAUACUAUAUGCAAUAGUUCAACUAUAUUUGGUAUGUGCGUACCUUGCAAGGUCCUCAUGCCCGUCAGACAGUUUUCACUUGACCUCAACCUCAUUUCAUGGAUCAGUGAACAAGGUUAAGUUUUGGUGGUCAAGUCCAUAUCUCAGAUACUAUAAGCAAUAGGUCUUGUAUAUUCGGUGUAUGGAAGGAUUGUAAGGUGUACAUGUCCAACUGGCAGGUGUCAUCUGACCUUGACCUCAUUUUCAUGGUUCAGUGGUUAUAGUUAAGUUUUUGUGUUUUGGUCUGUUUUUCUUAUACUGUAUGCCAUAGGUCUACUAUAUUUGGUGUAUUGCUCGAUAUUGUAAGG